rnacentral:rRNA from 1 species
GAUGAACGCUGACAGAAUGCUUAACACAUGCAAGUCAUUGGCGAAGCUGCGCUUGCGCAGUCUAGCCAAGGCGGACGGGUGAGUAACGCGUAAGGAACUUGCCCUGCAGACAGGGAUAACAGACGGAAACGACUGAUAACACCUGGUAUUGUCAGGCUGGCGCAUGCCGGCCUGAUGAAAGGAGACGCUGCAGGAGAGCCUUGCGUCCUAUUAGCUAGUUGGUGGGGAACGGCCCACCAAGGCGAUGAUAGGUAGCCGGCCUGAGAGGGUGAACGGCCACAAGGGGACUGAGAUACGGCCCUUACUCUUACGGGAGGCAGCAGUGGGGAAUAUUGGACAAUGGGGGCAACCCUGAUCCAGCAAUUCUGUGUGCACGAAGAAGGUUUUCGGAGUGUAAAGUGCUUUCAGCAGGGAAGAAGAAAGUGACGGUACCUGCAGAAGAAGCGACGGCUAAAUACGUG